rfam:Paenibacillus rhizosphaerae strain FSL R5-0378 NODE_1_length_2436333_cov_1.26966_ID_3960, whole genome shotgun sequence.
AUGUAAAAUAAGAUAUUUAUAACUUUAUAACAUGAACAGUCGUGAUCUGAUUAUAUCAUCACGUCUUUUUUUGCGCAAUAAGAAAGAACCUGGGAUUUUAUCCAGGUUCUUUUUUUG